rnacentral:rRNA from 1 species
UGAACGCUAGCGACAAGGCCUAACACAUGCAAGUCGAGGGCAGCACAAGGAGCAAUCUGAGGUGGCGACCGGCGCACGGGUGAGUAACACGUAUGCAACCUGCCUGUAAGCGGGGAAUAACCCGUUGAAAGACGGACUAAUACCGCAUAAUACUAAAUUACUGCAUGGUAAUUUAUUUAAACAUUUAUGGCUUACAGAUGGGCAUGCGCAUGAUUAGCUAGUUGGAGAGGUAACGGCUCCCCAAGGCAACGAUCAUUAGGGGUUCUGAGAGGAAGGUCCCCACACUGGUACUGAGACACGGACCAGACUCCUACGGGAGGCAGCAGUGAGGAAUAUUGGUCAAUGGACGAGAGUCUGAACCAGCCAAGUCGCGUGCAGGAAGAAUGUCCUAAUGGAUUGUAAACUGCUUUUGCAGGGGAAUAAAGUGCAUCACGUGUGAUGUUUUGUAUGUACUCUGCGAAUAAGGAUCGGCUAACUCCGUGCCAGCCGCUGC